ensembl:lncRNA
UGUUGAUCCAGUGUCUGAAAUGCAUGUUCCUGACACAUAAUUACCGCCAGUCUUGAUAAAUACCCCUAUCGCCCAGCAGCCCUGCGCUUCCAGCCCUCGGACCCCAGCCCCACAGAUUCAUAAUUCAUAACAUUGGCUCGACUUUGAGUCCUUCCAGACUUGGCAUGGCCUCUCUCCAGCUCAGGACCAGGCUUUGAGCCGACCAUGAGAAUGUGGCUGCAGGCGGUUUGUGAAACUGCUCGGGAUUCCAUGAACUCCCCAGACACAGGGUGGCAGAAUGAUUCCAGAUGGAGACACGAUCACCUCCAUUACCACCUCCAUCAUCACCCUCAUCCUCCUCAUCUUCAUCAUCAUGUUCAAGAUCAUCAUCAUCAUCUUCAUCAUCAUCAUCAUCGUCGUCAUCAUCAAACACUCAACUUACCGAGCCACAUUCUGGACACGGUCGCCAAACCUGCCCACACCAUCAAUGGCUUCGCACCCAGAAACAUUUUGCCGAUGCCAGCGACGCCAUAUAAUACUUUCCUCGCGGCCCGGGCCAGCCCAUUUGGAAAGGGCAUUGAUAUAAACCAUCCUGAUGAUGGUGAAAACAGGUGUUUUCAUCCAACGCUCUCCAUCCAUCCCAGUCACGCCUGUGUACCAUCGACGUGGUGGAGGGCUCUUGUACUGCUGGUGACCCUCCUGAGAACAGAACCCUAAACCUCCGUUGUCGUUAAGGACUCUCAGUGAUGAGUGUUCAACCUGGAGGGAGCCCUCUCCAUCCCUAUCUCUUCCAUUAUAUCAGGUCUCUCCAUGGAUGUGUGUGUGUGUGUGUGUGUGUGUGUGUGUGUGUGUGUGUGUGUGUGUGUGUGUGUGUGUGUGUGUGUGUGUGUGUGUGUGUGUGUGUGUGUGUGUGUGUGGAAGUGCAUGCAGUGUCUUUCCAUGCACGUGUGUUUCGGUGUAUGUGUGUAUGUGUGUUUUUUCCAUGGAUUUGUUUGCGUGUGAGUCCAUGCAUGGAAUUGUCUUUCCAUGCAUGUGUGUGUGUGUGUGUGUGUGUGUGUGCGCGUGUGUGCGUGUGUGCAUGUAUGCGUCUGUGUGUGUGUGCUUCUGUGCAUGUAUGUGUAUUUGUGUGCUGACAUGCCUGUAAGGGUCGCUGCAUGUGUGUUUGUGCAUGUGUUUGUGUUUAUGUGUGUGCGUUCACGCAAAGUUUGGUUGUAUGUGCGUGAAUAUCGAAGCGCACGCUCUACAUUUCAUCUGGCGAAGCGGAUGAUGGUGAAGCUGGUCUGAAGUGCCACGAAAACCCAGACAGUCAACAGACACGCAUGCUGAGAUUAUGCAACACAACCUAAUAUUCAGCCUACAACUAAAGGGAACAGAAUUUCGUGAUUCUUUGAUUCCAUGAGCAUUUGGUUCCCAGACAUCCACUGUAUGGCUCUCCUUGGAAAACUAGUCAGAACACGAAAGCUACUUGCUGUAACAUGGCUCUCAAAAAACACUUAAGUGUCUACUUAUCAUGGACUAUUGAAUGGGAAGACAUUGUGUUGUUUUUGAGUGAAAAUUUGUCUGAACGCUUCUAUUUGGGGUUUGGGAUUUCCACGUCAUUUUCCCAAGCAGGUGUUAAGAUGAUUAAAAAUGCCUUUGAGCUCAGCCUUAAUUUCCACGGAAAGUUCAACCGUAUUCCGUCAAGGUACUUGACUCGUGAUUCAUUUGUUUUAUAGUUAAGAAAAUAAAGAAUAAUGCUAAAACCAUUAUAUUGAAAUAGUAGCUUUGUGAAAGAUUUAAGCAAAGAACUGGGGAACAUUUUCUUCUUUUUAAUGUUUUACUCAUGUCAACACAAACACAUGGUCAAUAUCCAUCCCAUUAAUCAUAUUGAGCUGAAGUAUAUAUUCCCUAAUAAAUC